rnacentral:rRNA from 1 species
UGAGCAAUCUGCCCUUCUCAUCGGAAUAAGCGUUGGAAACGACGUCUAAUGCCGAAUACGACCUCCUUUCGCAUGAUCGGAGGUGGAAAGCUCCGGCGGAGAAGGAUGAGCUCGCGGCCUAUCAGCUAGUUGGUGUGGGUAAUGGCCCACCAAGGCGACGACGGGUAGCCGGACUGAGAGGGUGACCGGCCACACUGGGACUGAGACACGGCCCAGACUCCGUACGGGAGCAG